UCCCCCGAGGGAGUAAACAUUUGGCCCGACACUCGGGGCUCCGCUCGCCCGCGUCUCUAUGGUUGGCGAGGCGACCGGAAGGGGAAGAAGGGAAGGAGGCGGAGAGAGUGGGGAGCCCGGCUGCUGCCGCCGCCCGGACAGAGGCGAGAUGGCGGCCGCCCAGGUGGCGGCGGAGGCCGACAUGGUCGCGGAGGGCUCGGCGGCGGGGGAGCCGGAGCAGCCUAAACCGAAGACCAAGCUCGAGGCGGCGGCGGCGGCCGUGGCGGCCGCUGUCGCAAGUGCGGCUGAGGCGGAGGCCGAGGAAGUGGAAAGCGACUCCUCCCCGGAGGACUGCGGGCCGAUGCGCCUCGACUCGCCCACCUACGUCCUGUACAGGGACAGACCAGAAUGGGCUGAUAUAGAGCCGGUGCCCCAGAAUGAUGGGCCAAAUCCAGUGGUCCAGAUAAUUUAUAGUGAAAAAUUUAGAGAUGUUUACGAUUAUUUCCGGGCUGUCCUGCAACGCGAUGAAAGAAGUGAACGAGCAUUUAAAUUAACAGGAGAUGCUAUUGAGCUAAAUGCAGCUAAUUAUACGGUGUGGCAUUUUCGGAGAGUUCUUUUAAAGUCUCUGAAAAAGAAUCUAAGUGAGGAAAUGAAAUAUAUUACUGCAAUAAUUGAAGAACAGCCCAAAAACUACCAAGUCUGGCACCACAGGCGAGUGUUAGUGGAGUGGCUGAAGGAUCCAUCUCAGGAGCUUGAUUUUAUUGCUGAUAUUCUUAACCAGGAUGCAAAGAACUACCAUGCCUGGCAGCAUCGACAGUGGGUCAUUCAGGAGUUCAAGCUUUGGGAUAAUGAGCUGCAAUAUGUAGACGAACUUCUCAAAGAGGAUGUGAGAAAUAACUCUGUCUGGAACCAAAGACACUUUGUAAUUUCUAACACUUCAGGCUACAAUGAUCCUGCUAUCCUGGAGAGAGAAGUCCAGUAUACUCUAGAAAUGAUAAAAACAGCACCACAUAAUGAAAGUGCUUGGAACUAUUUAAAAGGGAUUUUGCAAGAUCGCGGCCUUUCCAAGUAUCCCAAUCUACUAGAGCAAUUGUUAGAUUUACAGCCAAGUCACAGUUCUCCCUACCUGAUUGCCUUCCUUGUCGAUAUAUAUGAAGAUAUGCUAGAAAACCAAUGUGACAACAAGGAAGAUACACUUAAUAAAGCAUUAGAGAGUGAAGUGUGCAGAUCCCAGAGAAGAAUUUAUACAACAUUGUAAAGAAAAACAACUUUGAAAGACCUAAGAACUCUCAUCAAUGCAAUGACCAACCAUGAUUCCAGAGGACCAGUGAUGAAACACGUUGCCCACCUCCUGACAGAGGUCAACUUAAGCAUUUACUACAGAGCCUAUGAAUUAGUAAACACUAAUUCUUGUUGACUGUUUCACUGACAGUUUUGAAGUGGCAGUUGUACCUUUUCCUGUCAGAGUCUUUAUCUUUGAUCCAUGAGGAUCUAUGAAAUAAAGUAUGGAGAAGGUAAAAAGGAAAAACUUUUUCCUUGUCAGAACUGUUUUAGCUUAUUUUGUAAAGAAACAUUUUAUAUAUAAAGAGAAUUUUGAGUGCAUUCUGGGGAGACUUGCCUGUCAUCACUGAAAAGAGGAAAGCAAAAAGGAUUACCACAACUACCUUCUUGAGAAAGAACAUGUAACCCUUGAGGAGAAAUAGGAAGAUUAUUGAAAGACUGUAAUCAUUUUGGGGGCGUACUGCAUGGUGUGUUCAGAAGUAAAGACAUCUGCUAUUUUAUUGAAGUUUUGAGGUAACAGCGGCUUUGAUUUUUUCAUAUUUUAUAUAAUUGUAUGUAUAUAAGACCCCUUUCUGGUCUCCUCUCCUUACACAGCACUCCUCUCGUGAGUUCAGUCUCCAGAGGAUGGAUGCUACCUUGGCUUCUCGUAGUAACCCUGUAAGUAACUUCCCACUACUGUAGCUCAUGAGCCACCACUAGUCUGCUUCCAGUAGAAUUAAUUAGCUUUUAGCAAAAGCAUUGACUAAGAUGUUAAACUAACAGUUGGUACAAAAUAGUGAUCCCCAAACCCUGCAGCCUACUGUUCUACACAAAUAGACACUGUCCUUGGAAGAGUGGUUUCCAAAUGGAGUAGUCAAAGCAAGGAACACAUGCCAACUCCUGAUUCUAGAAGUCCUUUCCUGCAUCCAUAAUCAUCACUAUUCUCUGGUAUAUGGGUCAUACUCCUGAAACUACCCCUUUUCUCAAGUGACUGUCCCUUCAUAUCCAUGUCUGUUUUUAGCCCUUUUAGAUACCUUGUCUUCUGUGGGUAUAGUAGCUCCAAUUUGUUGUUGUUUGUCUUUUGUUCCCGAAGAGGACCAUGACAUCAGGGUGAUAACAUGACUUGCACUGAAUUGGAUUUAACUGAGAGAGGGCUGUGCAAGGUCAUCAACCUCACUCUU